UAACUCGCAGGAAAACAAUGUAACAGUG
rnacentral:piRNA from 1 species